rnacentral:rRNA from 1 species
GAUGAACGCUAGCUACAGGCUUAACACAUGCAAGUCGUGGGGCAGCGGAUACUUAGCUUGCUAAGUAUGCCGGCGACCGGCGCACGGGUGAGUAACGCGUACCGAACCUGCCCAUCACACAGGGAUAGGCUUGCGAAAGCAAGAUUAAUAUCUGAUGGUCUCAAUUUUAUGCAUGUAUGAUUGAGUAAAGCCUUCGUGCGGUGAUGGAUGGCGGUGCGUCCCAUUAGGAAGUUGGCGGGGUAACGGCCCACCAAUCCUUCGAUGGGUAGGGGUUCUGAGAGGAAGGUCCCCCACAUUGGAACUGAGAUACGGUCCAAACUCCUACGGGAGGCAGCAGUGAGGAAUAUUGGUCAAUGGGCGAGAGCCUGAACCAGCCAAGUAGCGUGCGGGAUGAAGGCCCUUGUGGUCGUAAACCGCUUUUAUCAGUGAAUAAAGUGCACCACGUGUGGUGUCAUUGCAGGUAGCUGAAGAAAAAGGACCGGCUAAUUCCGUG